CCUACGGGUCGCACCAGUGGGGAAUAUUGCACAAUGGGCGCAAGCCUGAUGCAGCCAAGCCGCGUGUGUGAAGAAGGCCCUCGGGUUGUAAAGCACUUUCAGCGGGAAGGAAGGCGGUGAGGUUAAUAACCUCACCGAUUGACGUUACCCGCAGAAGAAGCACCGGCUAACUCCGUGCCAGCAGCCGCGGUAAUACGGAGGGUGCAAGCGUUAAUCGGAAUUACUGGGCGUAAAGCGCACGCAGGCGGUCUGUCAAGUCGGAUGUGAAAUCCCCGGGCUCAACCUGGGAACUGCUUUCGAAACUGGCAGGCUAGAGUCUUGUAGAGGGGGGUAGAAUUCCAGGUGUAGCGGUGAAAUGCGUAGAGAUCUGGAGGAAUACCGGUGGCGAAGGCGGCCCCCUGGACAAAGACUGACGCUCAGGUGCGAAGGCGUGGAGAGCAAACAGGAUUAGAUACCCUCGUAGUC
rnacentral:rRNA from 1 species